rnacentral:rRNA from 1 species
UACGUAGGGUGCGAGCGUUAAUCGGAAUUACUGGGCGUAAAGCGUGCGCAGGCGGUUUUGUAAGCCAGAUGUGAAAUCCCCGGGCUUAACCUGGGAACUGCAUUGGUGACUGCAUUGCUGGAGUAUGGCAGAGGGGGGUGGAAUUCCACGUGUAGCAGUGAAAUGCGUAGAGAUGUGGAGGAACACCAGUGGCGAAGGCGACUCUUUGGCCUGUAACUGACGCUGAGGCGCGAAAGCGUGGGGAGCAAACAGG